ensembl:lncRNA
UCUUAUAUUAACAGGUCUCAUCUUUUAUGAUCAUAUUUUCUUAUGGACUUUUAUGAUGCAACAAGAUAAAUUGUUAUGCCUUUAAAAUGUUUAAAGGACUAAACUUAAUGGAAAUACCUCCAAAGAUAUUUCUUUCUUUCUCAAUUAUAUAUACCUUCAUGGUUGUGAAGUCUGCGUGUUUAAUCCCGGGUCUUUAUAUAAAAGUGUCGGGUCUGGAUUUGACCUGCAGAUAAUUGCGUGUAACGGGUCGGUUCACUGUACUGAGCUGUGCGGUCAGUUGCAGGUCUGCGGGACUCUUAUUCUUGUCUUAACUAAUAUUGUGUUCAAAAUCAACUCAUGACAAAUAACUUUUGCCUCUAAUGCAAAAGCCCCACAUUUCUUGAUAUGUCAACAUAGAACAUACUGUAUGUGGCCCGUCUGGUCAGUUUUGUUCAUUUGUUUUAAUCUCUGAUUUAUAUGCAUGUCUGUGUCUGCUUGUUUGAACUGUCACUCAACCUCUCCCGCCAAAUUUAAUUUCUACAUGCCUGUCUUCUCUUUGUUUUUAUGUUUGUGUUGUGUGUGUGUGUGUGUGUGUGUGUUUGCGUUUGCAUUUUGGCAUGUAGUUCUGAUUUUGACCCCUUGGUUGUAAAUAUCUCUGAUGAAAUGACCAAAACUGCAGCGUGGAAAGCCGUGAACUCGAGCGCAGAGUCAUGUGUCCAACCAGUGAAGCGUAGUGAAAGCCAGGAGAAGAUGGCCUGCGUUAAAGUCGACAUCAGCCCAGAUACGCCAGGAGGUUCCAGUUCCGAGACCUUCCUGUGACAAAUGAACGCCCUCCUCCCCUCUUGAUACCUUCUCCCACACAACACUUCACCCCGCUGACGAGCACCAUCUUAGUGGCAAAGGGGGCAUAGAACUGGAGCAGCACAACCUGCCUGCAGUGCUCCCUUUUUCGGGCAGCAGACGAGCUCCCCCAGGGCUGCGAGUCCUCCUCCACUCAAGUCUUGAAGUGUGCAGCGCAUGUACAAAUGGCUGCCAUAUAAUGCACUGUAGAGAGCACAUCUCAGAGGAAUGCUACUGCCCACCGACGCUCACUGUCUAGGAAGUGUCUCCAUCUAGCAAUUUGUCACACAUUGAAACCACAGAUGCCAAAGGAAUGGGCCUCACUGGUGAGGAUCUUGGACUGUGUGAAAUUAAUUUGACUUUUAACCCACUCUACAUUUUCAUUUUAAUGUUACUGUUGUUUUAGCUGAUCACAGUACUGUUCAUUUUGGGUUCAUACACCAUGUGUUGCCCUGCACUGUUUGUUUCCAUGUAUUUUAGGUCGGAUUAAGACCCUUCACCGAACUACACCAGCUUCAAAACUCAUUUGAUUAAAAGCCACGCAGGUACCGUCAGUGUCGGCUAAUUUAUAUUUCAUCAUUUGUAUGGCACAGUAAAUGAGACAAACCAAAAUAGAAGUACAUUCAGAUAGAUACUACUACUACACCACACUACUACGUACAUCUUUGUAGUGUUUUUCAUGAAUGGUCUCUCCUGUCUGUAGGGGAACACUCAGUAUUAUUGCUGCUCAUAAGUUGGUCCGUUGUUUUCACUGUAAACAUCACUGUUCAUAGUGUAUGUUAUCUUAUAGAAAUAUUAUUAUGUAUGUAUACUUUGUUCUUUUAAUUUGUAACGUUACAGAAAACCUAUUUCAGAGGCCAUAUGAAGUCUGUACUGUUCAGUAAGCACUUUGCCAGUAUAGUUUGUUACCUAAAAUGGAUGUUAAUAAAAAAGAUGACUCCUCCCACCAUAUCUAUAAAUCUGUUGUUAAAACAACUCAGGAAUCUUGAAUGAUUUCUGACUGUGGUCACUUGAUUGAUUUUAUCACAAGGCAGUGAUAAUUAGCUGUCCACUGUAUUCCUUUCAUCGCUGGUAUCACAACUAUUUUAAUAAAUGCUGUAAAUCAUAAAUUAGAGUAAGUUGGUAAAUAAAAAAAAGAGAAUAUUCGUGACCCAGUUAGAUGCACCAGUUUUUAUACUGUCUGUAUUAUUGUUGGUAAUAGUGUGUGUGCGUGCGUGUGUGUGCGUGCGUGUGGUGUAAAGAUAAUUUCAUAUGUUUAGUGUUGCAAAUUAUUUUAUGCAAAAAUAUUUCUACAGUAAAUGUAAAAACUUAUAUUCUAUGAAGUUGUUAUUUUGCUACGUGCGGUCCUGUUUUAGCAAUAAGUAUCCAUACCGUGCCGUGUAUGGACUCAUGAACCUGGUUAUUAUGCAGGCAAAGAAUCAUUUUUGAAAUUAUUUUUGUGUCCGUUUCAUCAGUCUGUGUGUAGCUGCAGUGACUAUACAGACAAUAGCUUACGUGCCUUGUCGAAGCUCUUUAUGUGCAAGUCUUUUGCUGAUGAUUUAAGUGUUCAGAACAGAUGUACAGGUAUACACGUGAUGGCACAAAAAAUGCCAAAGACGGACCAUCAUUACUUUGCAAGAGUGAACUAGUACAUGGCUCAUUUGCUGAGGCUUAUGUCUGUCAUAGUGUUAUUCCACGUCUGUGUGAAAGUCUUAGCCUGAGCCGCCGACUCAAACGAUGUAACUCAAUUUAUCUUCCAUUUACAUGUACUCUUAAAACGGUUUCUGAGUGUUCUACUGUCACAGCUCUAGUACGUGCUCACAUUUAGAAGCUCAGUCUUCGAUUAUUGAGGUGCUGGGGUUUUUUGAAUGGUCAGUGAAUGACAAAUGUAUGUCAGAUUAUUGUACAAUCAACAUCAAAAAUGAAGAUGGUGAAAAAAUGUUCAAACCAUCUAAAAAAAUCUUAAAUUUAAAUCCAGUCACAAGCAUUUCAUAAGUUAUUUCCCUACAUGUAUGGACCAUGUGAUCAGUGGAACUUCUACCAAUCAUGCACAUAAUUUCAUGUUCAUUUUGUUGGAAAAUAACCUAUUUUCACAUGACAACAGUUUGAACAUGGAUGUAUUAGCUUAAAGAGGUGGUUCAACAACAAACAUAUUACACUCCAUGAUCACUUAGUAAAAAUGCAUUCUCAUGUACAGACCAUAACAUCCUGUUGUUGGCUUGACUGAUGACUCUUCUGUCAUGGCCGAUUGGUGCAAAGCAAUAAAAGUGAAUACAUGGUGAUUUUCUUCUGUCUUUAUUUUAAAACCACACUGAGCUUUAUGGGAGAUCUUAAAAUGCUCAUGCUAGUUUAGUUCUUAGGUGGUGAAGAAGUGAUCUCGUCUCAGAUGGAUCAUGGACUUCCAUCAUAGUUAGCUCCCCAGUAUAGAAGUCAUGUCUAUAAUUACUUUCUAGCUUUUUGCAGAUCUGUCAGAUGUCCGAUGAAAGACAGAAAUGCUAAAGGUCCGAGAUGUUUAGAAACUUUAAGUUUAAAAGUAAAAGAUUUCAAGGUUAGUGUAUACACAUAUCGGGCAGAGUCCUUGAAUGUCCCAUUUGUAACAUGUUCAUGUUAAAGGCAAAAGGUGGCAGCAGAGAUCUGUCUUACACACCACAGCACUGCUGGCUCAUUAAGUUACUGUGUAACAAUCAUUGACACACAGGUGUGUUCACUUAUUUGACUAAUUAGACUCUGAGGCCUGUGUGGACAUGUGCAGAUUGUGUUUGAUUGACAUUUCCUUCGCUGAUAGGAAUCCUGUUAGUGCAGGAAACAUUAACCCUGAGC